CAAUAAGCUUAUAAAAUUAAUCGUAUAAGUAACAAAAUAUGAUCGUGUUGCUAUGAAAUGCGAUAUGUCUUACGUGAUAACCGUCGUCUGCUCCAUGGCGAGUAUGACAACCACAGAGUAUCAACGUACUCUGUGACAACCUCGCACGUGUGAAAUAAUUGGUGAUGAAAGCGAAUUCUUACUAGUUUUCAAGUCCAGAUGUGUUGGCUUUUUUCAUCUCGUAUGCCUGUUUAAUCUGCUCCCAGGUAAUCUGACUAGCUUCGACCAAUAUUUGAUGCAUUAGCGUUUAUAAGAUCAAGAACGAAACAUAGACAGCAUACGAGAAAUAGGACAAUAAACAAAGAACAUAUCAACUAUAAAAGAAUAAACAACAGUACUAACGAAGAAUAAAAUCAAAAUACAGAAAACUCAAAGUGGAAACUAAGAGCAAGAACUGAGAGUAACAUGAUAUUGCAGAAGUAAGACGAACAGGGAAGGGUAAGGACUAGCAUGGUGGGAAAUGGGUGUUAGGAGUAAUGUUUACGGAAGAGGUACGUUUUCAGUAUUCAACAGUGGGUAUGUGGUGGGUAGAAAGGGAGUUUUGGUUACUUGAACUUGACACUGGUCAAUGAUGUUGUGAGAUUUAAAGGGAUUGUAAAGGCAAAAUAAAACUGCUUAGCAUCUUGUAGGAUCAGUUUGAAUCUCGACUAUUUUCGUGUCUGUUCAUGUCGAAAAAGUUGAAUGUUUUAUAGGAUGUUGAGUUUAAUUAGAGAAAUUACACGGAACUCUUUCGUUUGCUUUAACGAAGUCUCGUCCUCAGAUGACGUCAACUCGAUCCCAGUGUGGGCUGAUGAAAUAUGGUUAGACAUUGCUCAUAGCCAUCUUGAUUGUUAUCACUAAAUAUAUCACUAAUCCAACUAACGACAAACCACCGAUCACUUGAGUUCAGAUCCUAACAAUGACCGACGCAUCUUCUCCCUCGCUGACGCCACAUAGCACCCCACAGCCUUAUCACCGCAGCCACAGCCUUUACUAUUCCUUUAAUCUUGUAGAGAAGAUUAUUUCCAAGUAUUUAGACGAGUUUGUUACGUGUACACUAUCGCUUCCAAAAAACCAUUUUUCAUUUGCUGCUAAGUGACUACCCAUUCUAAAGACCAUAAUAUUACUUUUAUCUAGAUUUACUGUUACCUGUAGUUUGUUAGAUUUGUUUUUUGGGGUUUUUUUUUUUUUUUUUGUCAUACACAGAGUCCCGAGAUAAACUGAAUCCAGGGCAUCUCACCUUAAUGAUGUCAAGCGAGUGUUUUAACCGGUACACUACCUGGCGCCCCUACGAAGACGUGAUGCUAAUUUCCACGUUUAUAGUGAAGCCUGGACUUCACCAGAUUGACAUACAGAAAACAAGGUCGACCACAUCCCCAUUAAUCGCCAGUCUGCUGAUGUUAGGGUAAGGCGAGGCGCAGAUGGAGCCACAGACCACCACCUGCUUGUGGCAACCAUGAAGAUAAAGCUGAGGUCCUUCCGUGACUCAUCAGACAGACCACACCACAAAUUCAACGUGCAGUUUCUUAGAUACCGCAGAAAGCAAAAUGACUUUAACUGCGAAGUUAAAAACAGGUUUGCGACACCGGAAGGACUCCUGGAAGAAACAGUGGCCAACCACUGGACAGGAUUACAGCAGACGUGGAAGAUUACCUGCACAUGAGUUCUGGGAAAGAAAGAAAAACAACACAAGGAAUGGCUGACCUUAGGGACUUGGCAAAAGAUAGAGGAAAAGAAAGAGCUGAAGCAGAAGAUCAACCAAUGUCAAGACCAGCAGAAAACGACGAGCUCAGAGCAAAGCACUGUAAGAUGAACCGAGAAGUGAAGAAGAGUGCAAGAGGCGACAAGAGACAGUUCGUACACAGGAUGGCAGAAGAGACAGAAGAAGCAGCUUGGCAAACUAACACAAAGGUACAAAAAUUAUGUCAGGAAGGAAAAACGCCAAUGCAUGCAGGCCGGUAAAGAAGGAGGUGCAAAUGAAGAUGUAAGAAGCGGAAGAAGGGCUGGAUCUGUCACCUUGCGAAAGCCGGCCGACAAUUUAAAGUCAAGCUCUGGGCUGGAAUCCGCAAGGGUUGGGAGACCCAGAUAGACAUGUAGGAGAUCGGUCCACAGUGAUGCGGAGGCAGCUGGCAUGACAUGAUCCCAACUGGAGAGGGAGGCCCAGAACCGAAUCCGAUGGCGUGGUCGAGUUGCGGCCCUAUGCUCUACUGGUAGUGAAUAGGAAUAAGAAGACAGAGGAAACAAAGACUCACACACACAUAUAAGCGCAGCCUCUCACCCGCCAAUGAAGGCCUCCACGUAUAAGACAAAAUAUGGCAAAACCUCAGAAAUCACACACUCGCCCACCCGGCUUGUGAAAUUUCCGGCGGUCACCAGCUCUUACGAACAGUACUGGAAGCCUACUCAGGUCUCACACAGAUCCUGGUGGUCACCAAUCGGCUAUUGAGCCCAGUUCCCUGCACCAGCCCCACAGAUUUCCAUUAGCUCCUGGUGGUCACUCCUGGCUGUUGUGCAAACAUGCGGCACCUUGCCUAGACGGUCUCUCACCACUUUCAAAACAACCCGCUUUUCUCAGCCUCUUAGGAGGAAUUACCCAAAAGGACGCUACUCUCUGGGGUUCGCUUCAUUGUCUCCCAGGGGCUGGCACCAAUGGUCAGCGCCCACAUCACCCACGCCACACUAUAGCGUGUGACGUCUUUUCGCGCCGAAACCACGGACAUGGUUGGGAGGGACAAUGAACAGCGGACCUCCAAUACUAGAACAAGCAGCAAACUCAGCACUCAAGCAGACGACAUGUGACGUAGUAUAGGCAUGACGUCAAGCGUCGUUAAUUCCAGCGAAAAAAGAUCUCGACCUUCCCCCUGCAGCCGGUUCAAAAUAGCCUGGAAGAUGACGUCAAACAUCGUCUGCCACCCUGUUGGCGCAGCCGGAAAUAUGACCAACCAGAAUCGGACGGAAGUCAGUACAUGGAUUAUGGCAGAACUGACUGACUUCAUAAGUGAUGUCCAAACGUUUACUAUAUCUAUGAAGCAGUUUCGUCUGAAUCUAAGAGCAAUGGAAAACCAGUACACAGAAAUAAUGCACCAGGUGAUAAACUCCUUGACAGGACGCAGUAUGAAAAAGAAGGUGUUCACACUACAGAACGAUCUAUAUGCUCUUAAGGACGAGAUCCAGGCUUUGGAUAAUCAACUCACAACAUUAAGGAUUAGCGUUAUUCCCAGGCACUAUGACCCUAUUGUGCUGGAUCUUCAGAGAGGAGCACCUCGCCUUAUCAUGAGUGUCAACCGUUCAAAACAAUGCAAGAGCUCUGGUGAUGGUAGUGCUGGUGUGUCAGCCGUUGUCUUACAUCCUGGAGAGGUUUCACCUGCAGGAUGGACAAGAGAUCCUGAAAGAAUGGCUUUAGAUGGGGACAUAGCAAAGGAAAACUUGUCUUGUGUGGAAGUGUUCCCGACUAAAACAGACCUGGAUAUUGGAUUGGCCAACAUCACAUCUCUGGUUACCUCAAGUGAUGGCCUGCUCAUCAUGACUGACUUCAGAAAUGAAAGCAUCAAGGUGACUCCCCUAGACUCCCCUCAACAGAUACACGAACUCAACUUACAACCAAAUAAACCUUUGUCCGCAACUGUGUUUGUUGAAAAUCAGGUUGCUGUUACCUUAUGGAAUACACCAAUGAUUCUGCUUCUACGUGUGACAUCAAAACCGUUAAGUGCUCAAGUUGUACAUCGAUUGGAGACAGUUAGAGUGUACUCUGGAGUAACUAAAGGUGCUGAAGCAAACACACUCAUCGUGUCUGCCAAUGUUUUUGUUGACAGUAGUGGAGUUUAUCCCCCUACUGUGGAUGUGAUCAGUUUACACGAUGGUGCGAUUCUGACUUCUUUAUCACGAGAGCCAUGGGCGUCAGAUCUCAGCUGGCACCAUUACUUGUGUACUACUAAAGAUGGGUUUGUUUUGGUUCCAAACAGAACUAAAGGCAUCGUGAUGAAAGUCAGAAUAAGUACUGGCAAACAGCUGAAAAGGUUCAUUCAUCCAGCUAUGCGAGGACCGCGUCAGGUGACAAUUGAUGAGAAUGACAAUAUAUAUGUAGCGUGCUUUGAUAGCAGAUGUGUUUUGCUCCUUACUAAGCUUGGCAUCUGGCGACAGGUGGUGUCGAGUGAAGAAUUACCUAGAAAUCUACAUCCACAUGCUGUGUGUGUGUACCAAAGCAAGAUGUAUGUCGCCGGAAAAGGAGAUAAUGGCAACAUUUGUGUCUUCUCUUUGCCAUAUUUCAUGUACCACCAGUGACUUUUGGAUAGUCGAUGACUAAUACUACUGAGACACUCACACCAGACAACAGGGACAAAUGAAAUCCAUCUGUCUGACUGAUGAUCUUAACUAUGGGUUAUCUCUGGGGUAGGGCUUCCAGAGCAUCCUGAAAAAUCAUUCUGGGGAUUAUUUUCAGGUUAGGUCUUACUUUGGGGCAAACACACUAUUUAAUGACUUUUCACUCUGGCUUACUUCACACUUUGGUCAGUUUAUUCACGGCACCAAUCUUCAGUCACUGUAAAUUAACUUAAAAGAUGAUCUUCUUCUGGGGCCAUGAUUAUGAAGCAGUGACAAGGCCAAAAUAUUAAGCAAACAAUGAAGCUAGGUUAUCCUUAUGAAAAAGAUGUGGUAAAUCCACUGCGCCAGUGCAGCACAUUCCGAAAUAAUAGAAAUAACAGAAAAAUAAAGCAUAUUUAGCAACAGACCUCCCCAAAGAGUUUAUUAACAAUGUGAUUGUAGCAAAAGCAAGAUUUAUAACAGAUGUCUCUAAAGAGAAUAUAGAUUUCGGCACUUCAAGACAAUGUUCAUUUAAAAUCAUGUAUUUCACUUCAAAUUCAGGAAAAGAAACAAGUUUACUGAUACAAGUAUAUGUGUGUGUGUUUCUGUUUCAGGUCAUGUGUCAAAAGUGGGUGGGGUCUUCAAAUUUGAGAUUAAGCAUGUUUCAGUGACUUAAAUGACAUCUUUUCAUGACAUAUCUCAAUUAAAUUAUUUAAGUUUAUAAUUAAAUUGUGAAUGACAAAACUUUCUGCAUCUGCUCUGAGCACACACGUACAAGCAUGCAAACACACAAAAUAUCUUCUGAUCAGAGUAAAACACUGCUUAGGAUUCAAGAGACAUGCCAACAAAUCUCUUGAUGCAGACAAUGUUUACUGAACUCGCGUAACCCUUUAAUCUCCUACAUAAUCUUCCCUCUAGUGUGCUGGCGUGUCAUCAUGCCUGUAAUUGCCCUUGCGGAUUAAUAAUGUUGUAUUGUAUUGUAACAUAACCCCUAAUUAGAAUAACACCACAAAAAUAAUGCCAAUUCCUGUGAUCACCCAGGGAUUUUAAACUUUCAUGGAAAUGGGAAAUUAAUUAACUGCUUGGUAAAAACAUGCACUUCAGGCCCCAAAAGUUCAUAUGCAUUAAGCUCCAUACAGACAAGUUUUUGUUGGUUGGUUGUUUUAUGUGCAAGAUUGUAAGUUAAUGUGGUGCCAACUAAUGAAGCCAUAUCAGCAAUAGAAAGUGAUGUUACUUGAAAUGGUUAUAAACGAAGAAACCCCAUGAUAACAUCCUUAAUAAAACUACCAAAACAAGGAACAAUACUAAAAGUGUUCUUGCUCCUAAUCACCCCCAGUGGAACACUAAAAGUAUGAGUGACAUGUAAAAAAGAGAUGUCAUGGCUUCAAAAGCCACCAAUAAAACCAGAAUCCAAAACCUAACAAGAUAUAAAAACCUUAAAUCUUAUAAUAUAGUCAUAUCCUUUGUAAAACCUAAAAAAUAGUUGCUGACAGGAUGGACCUAAAUAAGAAAAAAUAGCCUGCUUAAAAAAAUUGCUGUUGAACAUUUUGGAGACCAGGAAAAACUGUUUAAAAAGUACUAUUGCAAAAUCUCCUAACAAGAAGGACAACCUGGUGGGGGCUCACAUUGUAAAAGGUACAACUGCAUGGCAUAGGUGUGUCCUAACCUUAGCCUAAUAAGAACUACCUCCUCCCAUUGCACAGGAUAGCAUGGAGGCAGGCAGUCAGAAAGAGAUAGAGGAGUGGUGUGUAAUUUCUUCUGACCCAGAGUGUCCCAGUAAUACUGCUACAGGGACUGAACAUAGGCCAUGAAGAUAGACUUACAAUCAGAUGACACCAGUGACUGCGAUUGAUCAGGAGACAGGCAAGUGGCCUUGGCAGCCUGAACCACUUGAAAAUUGUCUGGAAUACCAGUAUGGCCAGGGGCCCCACUGAAAACAAUGGCCAUGCUGCAAUGAAGAAGAGCCCUAUGGACCAUAUGGAGUUAAUGUGAUACAGCCCUAAAAUAAGGGAUGAUGAAGACGCUAAUGAGGAAGAUCAGAUCAUUGAUUUCGACAAUGAUGUUGGUGGAUAGAUAUCAUGUGACACAUAUGUGAAAGCAACUGUAAUAAAGUUAAAUUUUGUAAUAUAAUUAUGCCCUCAUUUGUUUGAAUAUUUUUAUUAUUUAUUGUGUGAUUGUAUGAUGUUUUUCUUCUAAAGUAGAACCAUUUUUGAUCCAUCAAUUUACAUUUUUGUGAACGUUUGCAUAAAGAGUGUUAUACCAGGUUAAGGGACACAGACCUGUACAAUCUGUUAAUUUUUCUUAAUAAAGGUGAUUUUUUUUUAGCACCUUUCCCCAAUAUCAAGGCAGGCUCAAAGCACUUUACAAAAACACAAUACAAUAAUAUUAACUGCUACAGGCAGUCGUCAAUUCUGGAACCAAAGUACGAGUUAUCACCAGACAGACGAGAAAAUCCAUGGAGCAAGAAACACAUGCUGAAUCAGGAGUGUAGUUGACGUUCUGUACUUGCACAGAUCCAAAUAUCCAGCAGAAAAUGUAAUAAUAAUCAGCGAGCUCAUAUAGCCUGGCUCACCAUGUUUGACAAAGAAAAAUACAAAGACGAAAACCCUGUGGCUCUUUUAUUGCAGUUAACGGAAGAUUUUGUCCUAGCUCUGCUGGAUAAAAUUUUCUAUAUAGACCAAAAUGUUGAUCUAGUACAGUGAAAAGUUGUAAAGGUAUUGUUUUUCCAUGACAAACACAGAAAAGAUAUCUUUCAGAUAAGCAUUGAUUUGGUAGAUAAGUCUGCGAAAAACUGAUUAAUGAUAACUGCAUACCUUCAGAGAUGCAUGAAGCUUGCAGGACUAUUGACAAGUUUGUACUUUAAUUAUAUUUAUUUUUACAUUUUAGGGAAAAUGUACUUUUACUGUUAAAGUGUAUGCAGGUAAAAUGGGGUGUGGGGGAUAAUUUAUUUUUUGCCAGUUCUAUUUCAGGUUUUAAAAAAGUGACUCACAUUAGUGUAUAAGCAAUAAUAAACAUUUGAUGUGUACUGCACAUAUUAAUGCUCAUGAAGGAGCAUGAUCUUAGCACUUAAGAUAAGCAGAAGACAUAAACAGAAGGAAAAAUAACUAUGCAGACAAUAAAAGGCACAAAGAGGAACCAGGGAACAAACAGGAUGGUGAGGAUCAUAAAUCUGCAAAGGAAGAGAGGAGGCAGGCUAUGUUAUUUGGUAUAAAGAAUAAUGCUUGUGGAAUAGAUGUGCUUAAGUUUUUUUUGUUUUAAGUGUGAUAUUAUACACACCAUUUUCAGUUUAAUGGGUAUCUUCUGUAUAUUUUCUUAGGAGUAGAACUUGUAUCUCAGAAGAAGUUCCCAGAAAGAUGUCUUAAACUGCCUAGAACCUGCUUUAAGAACAUCAGCAAAGAAAAACUUAGUUUUCCUCAUACCUAAAGCAUCCAGUAAAGACCUCCAUUUUUUCCUGUCAAAGUCAGUUUAGCCAUGCGCUUCCAGGACAGUUUCUGCUCCUUUAGUUCUCUCUAUACUUUCACCAUGUUUCUUUUGGCCGACCAGUCUUCCUCUUGCUGUCCAAUGAAGGGCUAUUUUGGGUGGUACUUCUGGUUUCCUUCUGCACACAUGCCCUAGCCCAGCGGUUCUCAACCUUUUACUUGUGACGCCCCCCUGACAAACAAAGGUAUGUCCAGGCGCCCCCCUUAGCCAGCAGUGUAAGCUAAUUUCACUAAUACCGGUAUAAGAAACUUUUAAAAAAUGACCACCUUCGCAACAGCGCCCCACAGGUUGGGAACCGCUGCCCUAGCCGUUUCCAUCUUCUUUAAGGAUUAUGGUCAUAUUAUGUCAUAUUUGUGCAGCUGGCCUGUAAGGAUUUUCUUCAUUAGUAAUUGUGUUAGGCCAGAGUAUCUUAAAGAUUUUCCUCAGGCAUUUGGUUUGAAAGGUCUCUCGUUUCUGCCUGAUUUUUGCUCUAUCUUUCAGUCCUCACUUCCAUAGAGUAAGACCAAAAGAACAUUGUUUCUGAAGAUUCUUAAUUUUGUAUUCCUCCAUAAAGCUUUGGACUUUCAAAUUUCUGUUAACAUGGAAAAGGUUUCAUUUUCUUUAAUGAGUCUAUUUUUCACAUCUUUUUCAAUAUCUCCAUCUGUUGUUACUAGAGUGCCAAGGUAUGUAAAUUCUUGGACUUCUUUGUUAUCAAUUAUGAUGGGUUUUGUUGAUUUGGCAUUCUAGUUUCUUUUGUUUUACCUGUGUUUACUUUAAGUCCUAUUUUUGAUGCUGUUUUGGUCAGAUUAUUGAUAUUUUCCUGUGUAUCUUUGUGUUGGCUGAAUAAUGUAACAAUGUCAUCAGCAUAAUCUAAAACUUCCAGUAAAGAUGACAGUAUCCAACAGA